AAAAUCCGGGCGCGGAAUUCAAGGGUGCGAGGCGAGCGGCUUAGGCCGCGAAGCAAUCGGAAGUGGUUCCAAGAAAAGCCUCUAAGCUUCAGUCUAACAAGACCGUACCGCAAACCGACACAGGUGGGCGAGAUGAGUAUUCUAAGGCGCUUGAGAGAACUCGGGAGAAGGAACUCGGCAAAUUGGUACCGUAACUUCGGGAUAAGGUACGCCCUUGUAGCUUGACUGGCCUGCGCCAGGAGGGUGAGAGGGUUGCAAUAAACUGGUGGCUGCGACUGUUUAAUAAAAACACAGCACUCUGCAAACACGAAAGUGGACGUAUAGGGUGUGACGCCUGCCCGGUGCCGGAAGAUUAAAUGAUGGGGUGCAAGCUCUUGAUUGAAGUCCCGGUAAACGGCGGCCGUAACGAUAACGGUCCUAAGGUAGCGAAAUUCCUUGUCGGGUAAGUUCCGACCUCACGAAUGGCGUAACGAUGGCCACACUGUCUCCUCCCGAGACUCAGCGAAGUUGAAGUGUUUGUGAUGAUGCAAUCUCCCCGCGGCUAGACGGAAAGACCCCAUGAACCUUUACUGUAGCUUUGCAUUGGACUUUGAACCGAUCUGUGUAGGAUAGGUGGGAGGCUAUGAAACCGGAACGCUAGUUUCGGUGGAGCCGUCCUUGAAAUACCACCCUGGUUUGUUUGAGGUUCUAACCUUGGUCCGUUAUCCGGACUGGGGACAGUGCAUGGUAGGCAGUUUGACUGGGGCGGUCUCCUCCCAAAGUGUAACGGAGGAGUACGAAGGUACGCUAGGUACGGUCGGAAAUCGUGCUGAUAGUGCAAUGGCAUAAGCGUGCUUAACUGCGAGACCGACAAGUCGAGCAGGUGCGAAAGCAGGUCAUAGUGAUCCGGUGGUUCUGUAUGGAAGGGCCAUCGCUCAACGGAUAAAAGGUACUCUGGGGAUAACAGGCUGAUACCGCCCAAGAGUUCAUAUCGACGGCGGUGUUUGGCACCUCGAUGUCGGCUCAUCUCAUCCUGGGGCUGUAGCCGGUCCCAAGGGUAUGGCUGUUCGCCAUUUAAAGAGGUACGUGAGCUGGGUUUAAAACGUCGUGAGACAGUUUGGUCCCUAUCUGCCGUGGGCGUUGGAUAUUUGAAGGGGGCUGCUCCUAGUACGAGAGGACCGGAGUGGACGAACCUCUGGUGUACCGGUUGUCACGCCAGUGGCAUCGCCGGGUAGCUAUGUUCGGAAGAGAUAACCGCUGAAAGCAUCUAAGCGGGAAACUCAAAA
rnacentral:rRNA from 1 species